rnacentral:rRNA from 1 species
CCUACGGGUGGCUGCAGUGGGGAAUAUUGGACAAAGGGGGGAACCCUGAUCCAGCCAUGCCGCGUGUGUGAAGAAGGCCCUCGGGUUGUAAAGCACUUUCAGUGAGGAAGAACGCCUGGUGGUUAAUACCCAUCAGGAAAGACAUCACUCACAGAAGAAGCACCGGCUAACUCCGUGCCAGCAGCCGCGGUAAUACGGAGGGUGCGAGCGUUAAUCGGAAUUACUGGGCGUAAAGCGCGCGUAGGUGGCUUGAUAAGCCGGUUGUGAAAGCCCCGGGCUCAACCUGGGAACGACAUCCGGAACUGUCAAGCUAGAGUGCAGGAGAGGAAGGUAGAAUUCCCGGUGUAGCGGUGAAAUGCGUAGAGAUCGGGAGGAAUACCAGUGGCGAAGGCGGCCUUCUGGACUGACACUGACACUGAGGUGCGAAAGCGUGGGUAGCAAACAGGAUUAGAUACCCGAGUAGUC